GGCAGCGGUGGCGAGCGUUGUUCGGAAUUACUGGGCUUAAAGGGCGAGUAGGCGGUAGAGCAAGUCUGAUGUGGAAUCCUAUGGCUUAACCAUAGAACUGCCUUAGAAACUGCUUUACUUGAGUCAGUGAGGGGAGGGCGGAAUUCCUGGUGUAGCGGUGAAAUGCGUAGAUAUCAGGAGGAAGGCCUGUGGCGAAAGCGGCCCUCUGGCACUGUACUGGCGCUGAGGCGCGAAAGCGUGGGGAGCAAACAGG
rnacentral:rRNA from 1 species